CAGUCGCCGCGGGAAUACGAGGGGGGCAAGCGUUGUUCGGAAUUACUGGGCGUAAAGCGCACGUAGGCGGCUUGGUAAGUUAGAGGUGAAAGCCCAGGGCUCAACCCUGGAAUUGCCUUUAAGACUGCCGAGCUAGUAGGUGAGAGAGGUAAGUGGAAUUCCGAGUGUAGAGGUGAAAUUCGUAGAUAUUCGGAAGAACACCAGUGGCGAAGGCGGCUUACUGGCUCAUUCUAGACGCUGAGGUGCGAAAGCGUGGGGAGCAAACAGGAUUAGAUACCCCUGUAGUCCCUGUCUCUUAUAC
rnacentral:rRNA from 1 species